UACGGGGGGAGCAAGCGUUGUUCGGAUUUACUGGGCGUAAAGGGCGCGUAGGCGGCCACCGCAGGUCGACUGUGAAAUCUCCGGGCUUAACCCGGAAAGGUCAGCCGAUACUGCGGGGCUAGAGUGCAGAAGGGGCAACUGGAAUUCUCGGUGUAGCGGUGAAAUGCGUAGAUAUCGAGAGGAACACCUGCGGCGAAGGCGGGUUGCUGGGCUGACACUGACGCUGAUGCGCGAAAGCGAGGGGAGCGAACGGG
rnacentral:rRNA from 1 species